rnacentral:lncRNA from 1 species
UCUCUUCAACCUCUUUGAACCCCAUCACCAAUCCCAAAAUUCCCUUCUUUUCUUCUUUUUCAAUCCAAAGCCCAUCUCUUUUAUCCUUUCAUCUUCCUUUCUCACCUUCAAAAACCCUCUUAAAACCCAUCUCAGCUACUCUGAUCCCCUCCACUCCUCCGCCUCAACAGCAACAACUUUAUCAACCUUUUAGGCCACCUCCAUCUCCACUCCCUCCUAAAUUCCGGUCACUUGACGCUCAAGGUCGCUUAGAUGUCUUAGCCAACCGGAAUGGCCUUUGGUUUGAAUAUGCGCCACUUAUCCCUUCUCUUUACCAGGAAGGUUUCUCACCUCCUUCAAUAGAAGAA